UACGAAGGGGGCUAGCGUUGUUCGGAAUUACUGGGCGUAAAGGGCGCGUAGGCGGUUUUGUAAGUUGGAUGUGAAAUCCCAGGGCUCAACCCUGGAACUGCAUUCAAGACUACAUUACUUGAAUUCGGUAGAGGUUGGUGGAAUUCCCAGUGUAGAGGUGAAAUUCGUAGAGAUUGGGAAGAAUAUCCGUGGCGAAGGCGGCCAACUGGACCGACAUUGACGCUGAGGCGCGAAAGCGUGGGGAGCAAACAGG
rnacentral:rRNA from 1 species